AAGAUCCGUUGGUCGGUCCUUUUUCAGAAAAGUAAAUGGACUAGCUCAACGGUGCAUCCUUUAGACGCGAUUAAAAGAAAAACAAGAUCUCUCUACAUUUAUGCAGUGUAAAAGUUCGGAUCUGAAAGCGCAUUGUUAUAUGAUGUAACCUACUGAAGCGUUAGUAAAGAGAAGAGAAUGUACCUCAUCGGCAGCGACAGAUGGACCGGGAGAGGAAGCAUCGAGGCUAGGUCCAGGAGCUCCAGUUGGUGGAGCGGGAGGUCCAAGCAUAUCAGGUGAAGGAGUCGGAGCAUGGUGUUUCUUGGAUUUCUUGCUUUUGCUCUUGCUCUUGCUUGGAGCUGGGGCCGGAACCUCAGCAGUAGUUGGUGCAGCAACAGGAGCCGGAGGAGAGGCCGAGCUCUCUGGUGGAGUCGUCGGUGCAGCAACGGGAGGCGAUUUGGCUGGAGGAGAGCUCACAGGUACUGGAGCAGGUGGAGAACUCACCGGAGCAGCAGCCGGAGGAGAAGAAGCCGGAGCAGAUUUAGAUGGGGCUGGAACCGCCGCAGACUUCUCCGGAGCCGCAGCCGGUGGUGAAGAAGUUGGUGGGGAAGUGGUAGGGGCAGCAGUUGGAGCCGGUGAUUUAGGUUUGCUAACAGGGGCAGUAGCGGGAGCAGUAGCAGGAGUAGCCGCGGCCGGCGGAGCUUUAGUAGGUGAGGCUGCCGGAGAUUGACCACCGACAGCGGUUACCACAAAGCAAAUCAAAGCAACUGCAAAUGCACUUCUACGAUCCAUUUCUUGAAGACAGAGGGAGAGUGAAGUAGUAACAGAAACUAAUGACAACGAGACGACAGACUCUCAAUAAAUAUAUAAAUAAAUGAGGGAGAGAAUCAGAAAAAAUGAUGAUUAUAAAAAGAAAAGAAGAAAAAGUUAGGAACGUGUUUGGAUCAGAAAUAGCCGUUGGAUGAGAAGCUAUUUCGGGGCCCACCGUCAUCAAAUUGUAAUGUGGCGAUCAAGACUCGACAGUCUGGAUUGGGGCCCACAUACAUGAACCAUGUAAUUUGUUGUUACAUUACCUGAUUAGGGUAAACUACACCCAAGGUCACUGAAGUAUUAAUAAAUUUACAUUUCAGUCGUUUAACUUUAAAAAGUUACAAAAUAGUCACUAAAUCAUUCGGAAGUUUUUAUUUAAUUCAUUGAGAUAUUAAAUCUCUGUUAUAUGGCUUUCUUUAUUCACACGGCCUACACCAAUCAAAAGAUCUUAUUCUCCUUCUCUUCAACAAUUUAAUUAUUUUCAUAGAAUAAUUUUGAAUGUUAUGAAUUUACGAAUCAAAAUUCAAACAGUUUUCUUUUUCAAUCUCUUACAAGGUAUGUUCUUCUACUCUUUGAUAGGUACUAAUCCAUUGUAUCAAUCGUCAUAAAAAAAUACUUAACAAUUCAAUGACUUAAAUAAAUACUUUCAAAUAAUUUAGUGACCAUGUUGUAACUUUUUAAAGUUAAGUGACCAAAAUAUGAAUUUACUAAUAAUUUAGUGACCUUAGGUGUAGUUUACCCUACUAAUUAAUAUUAUAAUAAAUGUUUAAUUCUAUCCCCAACCUCUGUACUCUUUGGGGUUUUAAAAUUUAGCCUUCCUACUUUUGAUUUUAAAAAUUUAGUUUCUCUUCAUUUUUAUUUAAAAGUCCAAUUCAUGAAAACUUGGUUAAAUUUUAAUAUUCGAAGCUUUGAUCUAAAAAUAAUAAUAUAUAUUUAAAUUGAAUGGAAAUGUUAUUAAUUAAAUUUUAAUUUUUAAAUCAAGCAGGAGAGAUAGGGAAUUAAAAUUUAAAAUUAAAAUUUAAAAGCUGAAAGAGUAAAGGGGUUGGAAAAAAUUAAACCUACAAUAACUAAUUGAAUGAUACAAUUGUUAUGAAGUAGUGAGACAGCUGGACGUAGGGAGAGUGGGGUAUUGCUGCGCAAAGAGACAAACCAAUAGGAGGCGGCCGCGUGACCGGGUAAAGCAGUUACGGGUGAUAUUUUGAGAUGGGUCACCGACUCACCGGCAAGAAACUGUGUCUCUGCAAGCAAAACUUGUCUGGAAUAACGUGACGUGUAUUAUACUUAAACACCCUAACCUUUUCUCUUUUCGUUAAAAAUUGUCAAGUGGCUAAGGCUUUUUUUUUUAUCAUCUAUAUAUUAGAGUUUUAAAAAAAGUUUUGCAAAAUAGUUGAGUUGUGUAAUUAUUUCACCUCCACCCUUUGGCCUCUCUCGGUACAUUAUUAUGUAAAAGUGAGUAUUCCACUGAAUCGAUUAAAAAAUUUUGAGUUAAUUGAGUUAACGAGUUUUAUUUUAUCAUUCUAACUCGAUUUAAUUUUUUUUCAAAUUGAAUUGAGUAAAAUAAAAUUCGAGUCGAUUCGAAUGAAAUUGUUUGAGUUAAAUUAAAAAAUUAAACAUGUUAAAUUAAAAUCUUGUUAUACUAUAUAGAGGUGCUCAUGGGCCGGGCGGCCCGGCCCGGCCCGACGGCCCGCCCGAAAUAUGGGAGGGUUUGGGUAAAAAUAUAGGCCCGAAAUAUGGGCUUGGGCAAAAAAAUGAUGCCCGAUUUAAAAACGGGCCGGGCCUCGGGCACAACUUUUUUGGCCCGGGCCCGGCCCGGCCCGGCCCGAAUAUAAUAAAUAUUUUUAUUAUUUUUAAUUUUAAAAUACUUUUAAAAUACUUUUAUUAAAUUUUUUAAAUUUUUAAAUUUUUUUAAAAUACUUUUUAAAUUUUUUUUAAUUUUAAAAUAUUUUUAAAAUACUUUUUUUAAUUUUUAUUUUAAUUUUUAAAAUAAUUUUUUGGUAAUUAUUUAAAAAACGGGCCGGGCCGGGCCCAGGCUUAUGAUUUUUUUCCCAGGCUGGGCCUGGGCAAAAUUCUAGGCCCAUAUUUUGGGUCGGGCCAAAAAAAAUUUUUGGGCCCGGCCCGGCCCAGCCCAUGAGCACCUCUAAUACUAUAACUAAUUCCAUGUUAUAACACAUAAAUUUGAAACCAUAUAUAUUUGAAAACUUUUUCAAAGCAGAAUAAAAAAAUUACUUUAGUAUGAUAAACUUGAAUCAUUAAUUAACUUAUUUAGGUCCCAAAAUUAUUAUUCUAGAAAAUUUUUAAUAUUUUAACUUUCUUUAUAUUUUUUUAGAUUUUUUUUUGAAAUUUUUAUAAUUUUUAAAAAGUAUAAAUUUGGAAUUUUUAUAAAUAUUUUGAAAUUUUAAAAUUAUUUUGUAAUUUUUAUUGAGAGAGUGGUCAAUUUGUUCAUUUUCAAACUUGGCAGAGACCAAAAAGGUAUUUAUACCAAUAUGUUAUUCGAAUUAUUCGAGUUAUUUUAAUUGUAAAAUUCAACUCGAUUCGAACUCGAAACUCGAAUUACUUACUCGAGUUGACUUGAAUAAUUCAAAUAACUCGAUUCAAUUAACUCAAAAUUUAAUUUUUUUCGGAUUAAAUUGAAUUUUGCUCACUCCUAUUAUUUUGCACAGCAUCACAAUAUAGAUUUUUCGGUUUUAAAAUAUCGCCGAUCUAUAUUCUUCUUCAAUGCUAUAAAGCUCGACCCUUCCACAAUCAUUAUCUAUACAUCAUCAUCAUACAUUGUAUGAAUCGUAGAAUAUAUUACUGGAUUGUCAUAUAUAAUAAAUUUAUAUCUAUUCAUCAUCAUCAUACAUUAUACAAAAAUAUAUAAUAUGUCAAUUUACUACAUUCAUGAUAUGGAUUGAAAGAUAAAAAUUACACAAAUAAAAAUUACAUUUACUAAAAAUAAUGAUAUUUUCAAUAAUUAUUUGAUUUUAUAAAUAAAAGAGUUAUUAAUUAAAAUGAUAAAUAAAAAAUAAAAAAAACUUGAAAACAAUAUAUUUAUUAAUUAUAAAUAUUAAUUAAAAAUAAUAAAAAAGUUGAAAUAAAAAAUACAUAUUAAAAUUCUUAUAAAAGGAAUCAAACUUAGGACUGAAAGAAGAAAUCACAAUUAUCUAACCAUCUAACCAAAAGAGCUAAUGUGUCAAAAAUAUUAAUUUAAAAAAAAACUUAAAAUAACAUGAAAUAAAAAUUACAAAAGUGAAUAGGAGAGGAAUUGAACCUAAGACUUAAGACUAAAAACACUAACACUUAACCAUCUGAUCAAAAGAGCUAAGUUGUCAAUUUGUGAAAACAUGACACAUGUUCAGCUGACGUAGCUAAAAAUAUGCCCUAUAAGACGCAUUUUCAAUGACAUAGACAGUGAAAAUGCACCAUGUAAGACGUGCUUUCCUUUCUCUCUUCAAAACAACAUUGAUAAAUUUAAAAAAAACAACAUAGAUAAUUAAAUGUAGAUUUUUUUUUUCAGCAUAAAUGGAUAAAUCAACCUGGUAUAUAUUAAAUUAAUUAUAUUAUCUUAAUUAUUUAUUUGACUGAGUCUUAUUAAUGAAUGCCAAAUAUUAUAUAUUAUUAAUUAAUAUUUGCCUUCUGUUUCGAGCAAAUAAGAAAGCUUCAUAUUGGCCAUUUACACGCACACACGCAUAUAUAUCAUAGUGUAUUAUGAAUAUUCCAAGUGAAGGGAAUUUGCAUGCUUUUGGCUUUGGGUUGAUGGGAAAACGACAAAAACACCAAUAUUAACCAAUAAAAUUAAAAGCUUUAGAAUUAAGGACGAAUCACGCUUGAAAGUAGGCAUUGGGUCUAAUACAGUUUGUAUACAUUUGAUGCUUCAAAUAAUGCAUUUUGAAAGUUUGCUGCUUGGGCUUACAUUUUACAGGGUUUUGUUGUAGAGAAAAAGAGAAUUUUUAAUUUGUAGAGUCCUCUUGUGAAGUGCUUCUUCUGAUACGUGGCAAUUGUGAAUGUAAGAAGUUUCAUACAUGUAAGUCUGUCUGGUGUUUGCAGCCGGGGGAGAAGACGAUAGGAACCAAUGAAUAACGUCUCUCCUGGUUUAUGCCCCCAUGCCUAAUUAUUUUUUACUCAAAACUGUUCUUUCAGAUUAAACUAAAUAUUCAGAUUGAUUUGUAAGAUAUGCAUUUGCUGCCAUUUUAAGCUUUCCUGUACUUUCAUUGGAACAUUGUCUAACCAAACAACUCCUUUUUUCCCUGUAAUGGUUCAUGAGCUAUAUAUGAUCGUUUCAGUUUUGUUACUUUUACAAUGUUUAACCUGCACAAAUGAUCUUGGGAUUCAUUAGCAUUGGUAUUAGUAAAAUAAAUUGUGAUUUUAUUAAAAUAUAAUAGAGAAAUAAAAGACAGAAAAUGGGUAAAUGAAGGGGAAAAAAAAAAAGAAUGGGGGAAAUUACAUAGGAAAAAAGAACUAGAGUUUCCGCCUCUCAAUACACCAACCAAAGAAUUACAACGCAGAAUGUGGAAUGUGAUCAAAAUCAAUCUAGAAGCUCAAAGCAAUGGCUGCCCAUCCCAACGCCAACCCUCCAAUUAUCUUCUUCAUGUUCUUCAUUGCCUCUGCUCCACUCUGCAUUUGUUUAUAAUAACUCUUUAAAUGUUACAAAUAAAUAUAGUUUUAAGAUGAAAAAAAGAUCCAUUGGUCGGUCCUUUUUCAGAAAAGUAAAUGAACUAGCUCAACGGUGCAUCCUUUAGACGCGAUUAAAAGAAAAACAAGAUCUCUCUACAUUUAUGCAGUGUAAAAGUUCAGAUCUGAAAGCGCAUUGUUAUAUGAUGUAAGCUACUGAAGCGUUAGUAAAGCGAAGAGAAUGUACCUCAUCGGCAGCGACAGAUGGACCGGGAGAGGAAGCAUCGAGGCUAGGUCCAGGAGCUCCAGUUGGUGGAGCGGGAGGUCCAAGCAUAUCAGGUGAAGGAGCCGGAGCAUGGUGUUUCUUGGAUUUCUUGCUUUUGCUCUUGCUCUUGCUUGGAGCUGGGGCGGGAACCUCAGCAGUAGUUGGUGCCGCAACAAGAGCCGGAGGAGAGGCCGAGCUCUCUGGUGGAGUCGUCGGUGCAGCAACGGGAGGCGAUUUGGCUGGAGGAGAGCUCACAGGUACUGGAGCCGGUGGAGAACUCACCGGAGCAGCAGCCGGAGGAGAAGAAGCCGGAGCAGAUUUAGAUGGGGCUGGAACCGCCGCAGACUUCUCCGGAGCCGCAGCCGGUGGUGAAGAAGUUGGUGGGGAAGUGGUAGGGGCAGCAGUUGGAGCCGGUGAUUUAGGUUUGCUAACAGGGGCAGUAGCGGGAGCAGUGGCAGGAGUAGUCGCGGCCGGCGGAGCUUUAGUAGGUGAGGCUGCCGGAGAUUGACCACCGACAGCGGUCACCACAAAGCAAAUCAAAGCAACGGCAAAUGCACUUCUACGAUCCAUUUCUUGAAGACAGAGGGAGAGUGAAGUAGUAACAGAAACUAAUGACAACGGGACGACAGACUCUCAAU
rnacentral:lncRNA from 1 species